rnacentral:rRNA from 1 species
AUUGAACGCUGGCGGCAGGCCUAACACAUGCAAGUCGAGCGAGCGGCGGACGGGUGAGUACUGUCUGGGAAACUGCCUGACGGAGGGGGAUAACUACUGGACACGGUAGCUAAUACCGCAUACUCUCAGACGUGCCCAGAUGGGAUUAGCUAGUAGGUGGGGUAACGGCCCACCUAGGCGACGAUCCCUAGCUGGUCUGAGAGGAUGACCAGCCACACUGGAACUGCGACACGGUCCAGACUCCUACGGGAGGCAGCAGUGGGGAAUAUUGCACAAUGGGCGCAAGCCUGAUGCAGCCAUGCCGCGUGGGUGAAGAAGGCCUUCGGGUUGUAAAGCACUUUCAGCGGGGAGGCGUUACCCGCAGAAGAAGCACCGGCUAACUCCGUGCCAGCAGCCGCGGUAAUAC